ACCCAUCAAAAAUUCUGGUUGACUACUUGACCCUUAACCCCCCAUUCUCACCAUCGCUGCCUUCAGAUCCUCCCCUCGAAUAAGAGAGAUUCAGAUAAACUCACGGCCAGUAUGCUUCUAGCUCAAGUCGACGAAACCUAUGGCGCCGAUGAAGGGUUUUGGGGUUCAGAAAGUGAAGCGUUGAAGAGAAAGCUAGCGAAAGCAAAAGCCGGCUUUGUCGCUGCUGUUGUUUUUGACGCAGUGACGCUUUUGUUCUUUUAGUGGUCCUUUGAUAGGUGAAGAAGCAAGCGGUGGCAAGAGAGGUGGCGCAAUAUUCCAGCUUGAAAAGAACGAGGAAGCUAGAGCACAUUAAUGAGGUCGAUUGGGCUGCCAAUCAACAAAGAAGCGUCCUGUGAUAAAAAGAAAUUGUAUUAAAAUUGGAAAGUAAAGGGAAUAACACGUGGAAAUUAAAAGGAAAU